GAUGAACGCUGGCGGCGUGCUUAACACAUGCGAGUCGAACGGGAAACCUUUUAUUGAAGCUUCGGCAGAUUUAGCUGGUUUCUAGUGGCGGACGGGUGAGUAACGCGUGGGUAACCUGCCUUAUACAGGGGGAUAACAACCAGAAAUGGUUGCUAAUACCGCAUAAGCGCACAGGACCGCAUGGUCCGGUGUGAAAAACUCCGGUGGUAUAAGAUGGACCCGCGUUGGAUUAGCUAGUUGGCAGGGUAACGGCCUACCAAGGCGACGAUCCAUAGCCGGCCUGAGAGGGUGAACGGCCACAUUGGGACUGAGACACGGCCCAGACUCCUACGGGAGGCAGCAGUGGGGAAUAUUGCACAAUGGGGGAAACCCUGAUGCAGCGACGCCGCGUGAAGGAAGAAGUAUCUCGGUAUGUAAACUUCUAUCAGCAGGGAAGAUAGUGACGGUACCUGACUAAGAAGCCCCGGCUAACUACGUG
rnacentral:rRNA from 1 species